rnacentral:rRNA from 1 species
UGGGGAAUAUUGCACAAUGGGCGCAAGCCUGAUGCAGCCAUGCCGCGUGUGUGAAGAAGGCCUUCGGGUUGUAAAGCACUUUCAGCGGGGAGGAAGGCGAUAAGGUUAAUAACCUCAUCGAUUGACGUUACCCGCAGAAGAAGCACCGGCUAACUCCGUGCCAGCAGCCGCGGUAAUACGGAGGGUGCAAGCGUUUAUCGGAAUUACUGGGCGUAAAGCGCACGCAGGCGGUUUGUUAAGUCAGAUGUGAAAUCCUCGGGCUCAACCUGGGAACUGCAUCUGAUACUGGCAAGCUUGAGUCUCGUAGAGGGGGGUAGAAUUCCAGGUGUAGCGGUGAAAUGCGUAGAGAUCUGGAGGAAUACCGGUGGCGAAGGCGGCCCCCUGGACGAAGACUGACGCUCAGGUGCGAAAGCGUGGGGAGCAAACAGG